UUUUUUUUUUCCUGCCUCCCAAAUACUAGUGUCUCUGCACAAGUCUAUUAAGUGGGGUUUUUUUGGGUAAACCUAUUAUAAAAACUGCUGGGGGGAGGAGUGCAUGUUCAGUUCAUACAGACUUACAGCAAUGCACGUGAGUUUGUGUAUUUUACCUUUAAUCAGAUUACUAUCAUUUUUCAGAAAGGUUUUGUGAAAGUGGGUUUUAUUAUUAUUAUUAUUAUUCCUGGUAUAUUUUCUUUUUAAUCCAAAGGUCCAGCUUGCUUUAUAAUAAGUUGAAUUUUAAUAAUGUUUUUCUAUCGGUGUCUGUGGCUAUCAGUGUAAACUGGUUAUGAUUCACAAACACUAUUUAUUUCCCUAUUUUAACUUCGCAUUGCCUCCAUGAUUCUGACUAUAUUCUACCAUUGUUUACUUCACUCCUACUGCUCAGAUUUGACCCUGCUGAUGGAAUAGCCUACUCUCUCUGGUAUGGGAGACUCAUAUCUAUCACUACAUGGUCACACAUAGGUCCACAUUUACACAUGUAAGCUUUUCUCUGAGCACAAAACAAUUAUAUUUUCAUUUCUGAUGGCUGGUGAUAUGCUUAGAUCCUGUUGAUUAUUUCAACUUUGUCUCAUUUACUUAUUCCACCAAAACAGACAUGUUGACUGCCUUUUAAUUACUAGACUCCCCUGUGAGAGGAAACAUGGGACACAUUUUUUUUCUUUUGUUCUAGACGUGUUUUCUGUUUCUACAGUGAAGUCACUAGAUGAUUCUGAAGAAAUAAUUAUUGAGCUGGUAUAACUCCCUUUUACUCUUUUACUUGUACUUUAGUGUGUGUGUUCAGGAUUUUUAAAAAUGUAAAGUCACAGAAAGACUUAAUUUAGAUCCAGUGCUUCUCAAAAAGUUACUUUCAAAUCUGUUCAACCUGUUUAUGUUUUUCAGAUUUAUUCAUAUGGAAUAGCGUGUGACUAUAUGAGAGGGAAUGGGUAUUUAGACUUUACCAGAGACUGACUUAACUGGUGUCCCUGUGGAUAUUUUUGUUUGUUUUCAUUAUGCCAAUGAGUCGUGGAUUCCCUCUUUAUUUCCUUCUUAAACUCAUUUUGUAUUAUAUAUAAGUAUACUCAAUUCUUAUAUUUAUAACCAACUCAUUAUUGAGGCCCUAAGAGUUGCCUACUAACCCACAUGUUAUCUGAAGCAAGGUCUAGGAAAGUCAGGUGAGGAGAGGAGCCCUAUCUAGGCUAUAUGAUCACAGGACUCAUCUCCGUAAUCAAUUCAGCUCCUCACUCUCGCACCACUUCUAGAUGUUUGGUCCAAAUUCCUUGAACAGUCAUGUUCCCUUCAAGUUUUCCUUCCUCAUUUAGGAAUUGGCCUUGAUGUAAUUAACUGUACACAGAGUAUCUAAUGUUUGGGCGACAAGAAUUGCAACUGUAGGAGAGGGAAGUCUUGCAACAGAUGCCUGAAUUUGCCUUGAAGUCAAGAAAAUGCUGGUGUGCUCCAAGCAUCUAAGGAUAGAAUUAUGCUUAUGGAAUUCCAAACUGAAAAAAGAUUUAACGCGUUUUACUUAAACUGAAAUUAGAUGAAUAAGAAGGAUAUGAGGUGUUUUGCUGGGAGAGGGAGGUGCUCCAUAUUUUUGAAAAUGUGGUCUAAACUAGUUAGGAGCUGGCAACCAAGAUCUUGGAAAAUACAAAGAAAAGGUUGGCUUUGAAACUUGAGAUUAAGAAGGUUAUUUUGACUCAGAGGUAGUAAUAACAGUUCUGUGAAGGCGCAACAUAUGGUCCAAUUAAAUAAAAGGACAGAAAUAAAACACCCUCUCAUGUCAUUAAAUUCCUGUGGUAACAUACUAGGGUAUACUUUUAUAUUGCUUACGAUGUAAGGGUAAAACCAUAAUCCCUUCCAUAAAUUCUCUUUUGUAAGUAACAAGGAAGACUUGAUGGCAUUGGCCAUCUUUAUCCUGAGAACACUCUGUAUAGCUUUGAGCUCUCCUCCUGUUUCCUCUGAUAAAUGGAGGAGGGAAAUUCGUACAUAAGACUGAUUCUAAUCCUAGGUGUCAUUUCAUGGCUGUCGCAAUUCCCCCACACCACUUGGUGGGGCUAUUUUUGCACGUGGUCUUUGUUCUAAGUCCGGAGAGAAGACUUUGCUUUGCUCUUCCAGUAUCUGCACUGCCUCUGGCUAGAAAAAGACACACUGUUCUCAUUCGUGGGUUUAUGGCUCUUCUAUAGGAUCCCAUCUCUAAGGAACUUGCUUUGGUAGUAAACACGGGAAAACAGACACAUCCAAAAUUCACAAAUUGCCUCCUUUCCUAGAC